rnacentral:rRNA from 1 species
CCUACGGGAGGCAGCAGUGAGGAAUAUUGGUCAAUGGCCGGAAGGCUGAACCAGCCAUGCCGCGUGAAGGUCAGUGCCCUAUGGGCGUUAAACUUCUUUUGUGCGGGAGCAAUAAUGGUCACGUGUGGCCAGACGAGAGUACCGUACGAAUAAGCAUCGGCUAACCCCGUGCCAGCAGCCGCGGUAAUACGGGGGAUGCAAGCGUUAUCCGGAGUUAUUGGGUUUAAAGGGUGCGUAGGCGGGGGGGUAAGUCAGCGGUGAAAUGCCCCCGCUCAACGGGGUGAAGUGCCAUUGAUACUGCCUGGCUGGAAUGCGGAUGCAGUGGGAGGAAUGUGUGGUGUAGCGGUGAAAUGCAUAGAUAUCACACAGAACACCGAUUGCGAAGGCAUCUCACGAAUCCGCGAUUGACGCUGAUGCACGAAAGCGUGGGUAUCAAACAGGAUUAGAUACCCCGGUAGUC